UACGUAGGCAGCGAGCGUUGUUCGGAGUUACUGGGCGUAAAGGGUGUGUAGGCGGUCCCUUAAGUUUGGUGUGAAAUCUCCCGGCUCAACUGGGAGGGUGCGCCGGAUACUGAGGGGCUAGAGUGCGGGAAGGGAAAGUGGAAUUCCUGGUGUAGCGGUGAAAUGCGUAGAUAUCAGGAGGAACACCGGUGGUGCAAACGGCUUUCUGGACCGUAACUGACGCUCAGACACGACAGCAUGGGGAGCGAACGGG
rnacentral:rRNA from 1 species